UCCUUGCCGGAGUGUGUGGAGGAGGUUGUACGAUUCCGACAGUCUGGCUUCGAGGUCGUUCAUCGUGCGCUCCGAGCUCGUGAUCUGAAGCUCCAGCUCGGCGCUCCGGUCGUCGACCUUCCGUAUCUUCUCCAGGAUGUCGUCGAGCUCUCGCCUGUCCUGCUCAAUGGCCGCGCGCUCUCUCGCCACCAUCUCCUCCACCUCCUUCCGGUGCCUCGCCUCUCUCUGGUUCGAUCUCUCUGCUUCGUCGGCCUGCAUCCAUCAUAUACGUACACACAUAAACAAACACGGUCGCCAGCUACAUACAAUAUGGUCGUCAGCAUGAAUUUUGACAGGAAGGAA
rnacentral:misc_RNA from 1 species